rnacentral:rRNA from 1 species
AUUGAACGCUGGCGGCACGCCUUACACAUGCAAGUCGAACGGUAACGGGCCUUCGGGUGCCGACGAGUGGCGAACGGGUGAGUAAUGUAUCGGUACGUACCUUUCAGUGGGGGAUAACGUAGCGAAAGUUACGCUAAUACCCCAUAUUCUGUGCGCAGGAAAGCAGGGGAUCGCAAGACCUUGCGCUGAUUGAGCGGCCGAUAUCAGAUGAGCUAGUUGGUGAGGUAAAGGCUCACCAAGGCGACGAUCUGUAGCGGGUCUGAGAGGAUGAUCCGCCACACUGGAACUGAGACACGGUCCAGACUCCUACGGGAGGCAGCAGUGGGGAAUUUUGGACAAUGGGGGCAACCCUGAUCCAGCCAUGCCGCGUGAGUGAAGAAGGCCUUCGGGUUGUAAAGCUCUUUCGGCCGGGAAGAAAUCGUAUCAGCUAAUACCUGGUGCGGAUGACGGUACCGGCAUAAGAAGCACCGGCUAACUACGUGCCAGCAGCCGCCGUAAUAC